rnacentral:lncRNA from 1 species
GAGAGCUUCUCAGCUGGGCAGAUCCACAGGCACCUUUGCUGCUCAGUGGGCUCCGAUCAAUCAGCCACUUUAGAGGGCGUGCGUAAGGAGGGGUUGUGAGACCCUCCUGGCAGCCGGCGUGAGUACUGCAGGCAACCUGAUGCAGAGGCAGAUGGAGGAUUUGAUAUUAUGAAAAGCAUCUACUUUAUUGAGAAUGGAGGUUUAACUACUUGGGUGUCCAUUCAGAAGACAAUUAAGUCCCUAAAAGGUGGAAGAUGGGCCCACUUCAGAAGAACUGGCUGUUUUAUCUGACUAGAAGAUUCAGCAGGGGCCUUAUAACUUCCCUCUUCUUUCUCUUCAUCCCCCACCCUCUAGCACACCCAGUUCCCAGCUUCCCUGACUAAAGUUUCCUUCUCCCCUAGAAUGGGAGAACCCGUAUACCAGAACUUCAGUUCAGCUGGUCACUGUGGCAUCCUCAGCCACGCACCGUUCCCAGAGCACUGACAGCUCAGGAAAUAUUGGAGGAAAUGUGUAAAUAAAAAUCCUGUUUUCUAGACUCA